GUGAGGAGGGCCCGGCGAUCCCUAGAGUUACGAAAGAAGGGCGGAGCCGAGUCGUUAUGGACCUCACGGCGCGUGCGCAGUGGCUUAGACCAGGCCGUUGGGAGGGUGGACCCGAGCCUUCUGGACAAGAUGCAAUUUGAAGAUAAAUGGAUUCCAACGUAGGCUCAAGACUGCAAGCUCUUUAGGAAUUCCUCUACAGCCAGAUUAUCACUGUUGAGACAUCCAGCCUUGCGGACUGAACAACUACUGGAUCCUUGGCCUUUUCCAUCAGGAGACAGCCAUUGUUGGAUUUCCCAGACCACAGCCUGUUAGCCAGUCUGAUAAAUCCCAUAC